CAAGUCGAGCGAUGAAGCACCUUCCGGUGUGAAUUACCGGCGAACGGGUGAGGAACACUGUGAAGAAUCUGCCUUCAACUCUGGGAUAACUCCGGGAAACCGGGGCUAAUACCGGAUAUGAACCUUGAUCGCAUGAUCGGGGAUGGAAAGUUUUUCGGUUGAAGAUGACUUCGCGGCCUAUCAACUUGUUGGUGAGGUAAUGGGUCACCAAGGCGACGACGGGUAGCCGGCCUGAGAGGGCGACCGGCCACACUGGGACUGAGACACGGCCCAGACUCCUACGGGAGGCAGCAGUGGGGAAUAUUGGGCAAUGGAGGAAACUCUGACCCAGCGACGCCGCGUGAGGGAUGAAGGCCUUCGGGUUGUAAACCUCUUUCAGUAGGGAAGAAGCGAAAGUGACGGUACCUACAGAAUAAGCACCGGCUAACUAUGUGCCAGCAGCCGCGGUAAUACAUAGGGUGCAAGCGUUGUCCGGAAUUAUUGGGCGUAAAGAGCUCGUACGUGGUUCGAUACGUCGGAUGUGAAAAUCAGGGGCUCAACCCCUGACCUGCAUCCGAUACGGUCGAGCUAGAGUUUGGUAGGGGAGACUGGAAUUCCUGGUGUAGCGGUGGAAUGCGCAGAUAUCACGAGGAACACCGAUGGCUAAGGCAGGUCUCUGGGCCAAUACUGACACUGAGGAGCGAAAGCGUGACGAGCGAACAGGAUUAGAUACCCUGGUAGUCCACGCCGUAAACGGUGGGCGCUAGUUGUGCGAACCUUCCACGGUUUGUGCGACGCAGCUAACGCAUUAAGCGCCCCGCCUGGGGAGUACGAUCGCAAGAUUAAAACUCAGACGAAUUGACGG
rnacentral:rRNA from 1 species